AGAGUUUGAUCCUGGCUCAGGAUGAACGCUAGCGGCAGGCUUAAUACAUGCAAGUCGAGGGGCAGCGCGGGUAGCAAUACCUGGCGGCGACCGGCAAACGGGUGCGGAACACGUACGCAACCUUCCCGAAACUGGUGAAUAGCCCUCCGAAAGGAGGAUUAAUACACCGUAACAUAAUGAAGUGGCAUCAUUUUAUUAUUAUAGCUCCGGCGGUUUUGGAUGGGCGUGCGCCUGAUUAGGUAGUUGGCGGGGUAACGGCCCACCAAGCCUGCGAUCAGUAACUGGUGUGAGAGCACGACCAGUCACACGGGCACUGAGACACGGGCCCGACUCCUACGGGAGGCAGCAGUAAGGAAUAUUGGUCAAUGGACGCAAGUCUGAACCAGCCAUGCCGCGUGAAGGAUGACGGCCCUAUGGGUUGUAAACUUCUUUUAUAUGGGAAUAAACCCUUUUACGUGUAAGAGGCUGAAGGUACCAUAUGAAUAAGCACCGGCUAACUCCGUGCCAGCAGCCGCGGUAAUACGGAGGGUGCAAGCGUUAUCCGGAUUCAUUGGGUUUAAAGGGUGCGCAGGCGGGAUUUUAAGUCAGUGGUGAAAGCCCAUCGCUCAACGAUGGAACUGCCAUUGAUACUGAAGUCCUUGAAUCUGGUUGACGUGGGCGGAAUGUGUCAUGUAGCGGUGAAAUGCUUAGAUAUGACACAGAACACCAAUUGCGAAGGCAGCUCACGAAGCCAGUAUUGACGCUCAGGCACGAAAGCGUGGGGAUCAAACAGGAUUAGAUACCCUGGUAGUCCACGCUGUAAACGUUGAUCACUUGACAUUGGCGAUAUACGGUCAGUGUCCCAGAGAAAUUGUUUAGUGAUCCACCUGGGGAGGAUCGGAAGAGCACACGUCUGAACUCCAGUCACUGACCAAUCUCGU
rnacentral:rRNA from 1 species